UGUGGUUGAAAAACAACACAAUCUCACAUUUCCAAAAUAGUCAGUUUGUAUUUUUACUUUUUGAAGUAUCAUACAGUCAGAAGAGAAACUAGGGGAUAUCUCUUUUAUUUCUUUAGCUCCUUCAAAAAGACCUUUGGUCACUUUGAUGGUUAAGCUGUUUGAAUGCUGCAGAACCUUGACUCACCACGUUUACUGGAGGAGCCACGAAUCCAUGAUGAGGAAGGCAAGUUGCCUUUACUCUCACAGUCAGACUCCCUGGAAAGCGGUUCUGAGACAGAGAUUGGCAUUCAAGGAGUGAAUGGGGGAGUGGCAGAGGGCUCCUUGUGUCAACCACUGAAGGGAAAUGAAGCCCUCAGCACUGACUAGUCAUUGGCUGUGGACUGCCCCAGGAAGGAGGUAAGAUGUCAUACCCGCAGCUCUCUUCAGCUGAGGGUGAAACUUGGAAGGAAGGAUUCGCCUGUGAGCCAUCAACUGUCAGCAUUCCCAGAAGCUGAGAAGUAAGUUCUUUAGUCCUGAAAAGGGUAAGGAAAUCUAGUUGGAAUACCAUAGUGUCUUCUAAAGGACUGAGUGAAGAAUAUGGUUGAA